GUUUUUAUAGCUUAAACUAAAGCGCAACUCUGAAGAAGUUGAAAUGAUUUAUAUCUAAAAACA
rnacentral:tRNA from 1 species